rfam:Firmicutes bacterium CAG:238 genomic scaffold, scf508
GGAUAGCGUUCUGGAGACGCCCGCUUACGCGGGGGCCGAAGGUGCAAGGCGAAGAAUACGCCAAUCUCUCAGGCAAAAGGACAGAAAGAAAUGA